rnacentral:rRNA from 1 species
UUCACUUCGGUGAAGAGUGGCGAACGGGUGAGUAAUACAUAAGUAACCUGGCAUCUACAGGGGGAUAACUGAUGGAAACGUCAGCUAAGACCGCAUAGGUGUAGAGAUCGCAUGAACUCUAUAUGAAAAGUGCUACGGGACUGGUAGAUGAUGGACUUAUGGCGCAUUAGCUAGUUGGUAGGGUAACGGCCUACCAAGGCGACGAUGCGUAGCCGACCUGAGAGGGUGACCGGCCACACUGGGACUGAGACACGGCCCAGACUCC